rnacentral:tRNA from 1 species
GCGGGUAUAACUCAGACGUGGAAUACCUGCCCGGCAUGCAUGAGGUUCUGGGUUCAAUCCCCAGUACCUCCA